rnacentral:rRNA from 1 species
UGGGGAAUAUUGCACAAUGGGCGCAAGCCUGAUGCAGCCAUGCCGCGUGUAUGAAGAAGGCCUUCGGGUUGUAAAGUACUUUCAGCGGGGAGGAAGGUGUUGUGGUUAAUAACCACAGCAAUUGACGUUACCCGCAGAAGAAGCACCGGCUAACUCCGUGCCAGCAGCCGCGGUAAUACGGAGGGUGCAAGCGUUAAUCGGAAUUACUGGGCGUAAAGCGCACGCAGGCGGUCUGUCAAGUCGGAUGUGAAAUCCCCGGGCUCAACCUGGUAACUGCAUCCGAAACUGGCAUGCUUGAGUCUUGUAGAGGGGGGUAGAAUUCCAGGUGUAGCGGUGAAAUGCGUAGAGAUCUGGAGGAAUACCGGUGGCGAAGGCGGCCCCCUGGACAAAGACUGACGCUCAGGUGCGAAAGCGUGGGGAGCAAACA